AUAGACGAGAACCUCAAAUUUAAGUCUCAUAUCAGCAAGGUUUCUGGUGUAAUUAGUAGGCAGAUUGGCAUCAUGGGCAGAGCUAGAUAUCUCCUCAACGCACAGUUAUUAAUGUUACUGUACAAUUCCAUGAUCUUGCCAUAUCUCACUUACUGUGUGAGUAUCUGGGGUUCCAAUUAUCCUACGACUAUCCAACCGAUCAUUGUUGCCCAGAAGCGGGCAGCCCGCAUGAUUGCUGGCGCACCCGCUAUGGCACACACCUCUCCUAUAUUCCGAGAACUGAGGAUUCUUAAAUUCAGUGACCUUGUAAAAUACCAACUCCUAAAUGUGCUUCACGACUUUCUACAUGAUAGGCUCCCCGAGCCCAUUGCUGCCAAAUUCACCCUUAGUAACCCGGUGCGUGUCACCAGAAUUUCUCAGCAUUUUAGUGAGCAAGCCCGAUCCUCAUCAGGUCGUGCGAUUCCUAAUUACAAGCUUCACAACUACCCAUAUGCCGGCGCCACAGCUCUGACGUAGUCGCAUCAACCGGGACCUGGCUUCUACUUGCACCAGAGCGUGCGCACAGCUCGAGCGCUGCGUGAUGCCGCCUGGAUUUCUGGCUGUGUCCUGUUCCACUGGAGGCAUGGGCGCCGUACCUGAGGCAGGCGGUCCCGCUGGACUCGACCGCUGAGGAUCUAUCACUGGAGUGGAUCGACGGUGUGAUGGACGAUCGGCGGGGCUGGACGUUGGCGCCUCCUGUCUGAACACCUCAGCGGCGCCGCUAAUCAACCAUGACAACAGCACCAAGAUCUGGGUCAUGCUUGCGCUGGAGCAGGUGCACGGCUCCUGCAUCGAGAGGCGGACUGUGCACCUCAUUCGCUGUCGAUCGAACACCUCUAGCCGCGCUCCGCUGGGCGCGUGUGCUGUGGUCUCGGGGCGGACGGUCGCGUUGGUGGCUUGACGCUGGAUGUCCCUGCGGCGGGGGGGGGGGGGGCGGCGGCGGUUGGGGGGUCGACUCAGCUGGCGCCCUCUGGCUGGACCCUGUAUCACGCGUCUAAAUCUGACAAGAUCCGCUCCUACUGGCACCAGAGUGCACAAGGAGCUCAAACGCCGCGGACAUGCGAUGAGGACGUACGCGCCGUGCUCUCGGAUGCGACUGAUGAGGAUGGUGAUGAGGAUGGAGGAUCACUGAUUGAAUGGAUGCGGACGAUGCUGCUGGUGACUAGGACAUCGGACCCGCCGUGUUCGGGUCAUCGCUGCAUCGGUGGUCAUGUGAUGAGCGGCGGGUGUGUGCUCGCUAGCGGCGAUUGUGUAACAGUGAACGGCGAGGUUAUGCCGGCGGGCGGCGUGUGCCGGUGGGUGGCAUGUGCCGAUGGUCGGCGAGUGGCGUGUGCCGGUGGGUGGCAUGUGCCAGUGGACGGCGAGUGGCGUGUACCGAUGGACGGCGAGUGGCAGAUGUGCAACAGGUGCGUAACGGCAGCCUGCGGGUGAGAACUGGAGAUGCUGCUUCGCCAUCGGUGAGCCCGUGAAGCGGCGCUGCUCGCCGCCGGUCUGCCUCAUCGCCGCUGCGUGUAGACGGCGACACCGGGCGCUGCUGCGGCCGAGGACGGUGUAAUGUGAGGUCGUCAGCCCCGGACCUCAGCCGAGGGCUGACACAUGUACUGCGAGACCGUGUCGUGGUGGUUGAUGGUAUGACGCGGUUUGUUGUUUGUUGGAACGCCAGCGGCGUGAUCUGACGCGGGAGAUUGAUUUGUCGUCUUAUAUGUGCACUCGUUUACUUGUGUGGCGCUACCGAGACCCCUCCCUAACAUUAACAACUAACAACGCUUAAACACACUAACAUAACUAACUGUCGUUCAUCCUACCAUCCUAAAGUUCCCAGCCUGUCGGCAGCGCCAUCUAUUUUUAUGCGUACGAAUCUGAUUUACUUCUGUUUGUCUAUGCCAUUUAUUUAUUAAU
rnacentral:lncRNA from 1 species